rnacentral:rRNA from 1 species
UACCAGCACCCCGAGUGGUCGGGACGUUUUAUUGGGCCUAAAGCAUCCGUAGCCGGUUCUACAAGUCUUCCGUUAAAUCCACCUGCUUAACAGAUGGGCUGCGGAAGAUACUAUAGAGCUAGGAGGCGGGAGAGGCAAGCGGUACUCGAUGGGUAGGGGUAAAAUCCGUUGAUCCAUUGAAGACCACCAGUGGCGAAGGCGGCUUGCCAGAACGCGCUCGACGGUGAGGGAUGAAAGCUGGGGGAGCAACCGG